UGGUGGAGUGAUUUGUCUGGUUAAUUCCGUUAACGAACGAGACCUCAGCCUGCUAACUAGUCAGUCGUAGGGUUCACGCUCUACUUCGUCGACUUCUUAGAGGGACUACCAGGGUUGCACCUGGUGGAAGUUUGAGGCAAUAACA
rnacentral:rRNA from 1 species